rnacentral:rRNA from 1 species
GAUGAACGCUGGCGGCGUGCCUAAUACAUGCAAGUAGAACGCUGAAGCUUGGUGCUUGCACCGAGCGGAUGAGUUGCGAACGGGUGAGUAACGCGUAGGUAACCUGCCUGGUAGCGGGGGACAACUAUUGGAAACGAUAGCUAAUACCGCAUGACAACAGUUAUUGCAUGAUAACUGUUUAAAAGGGGCAACUGCUCCACUACCAGAUGGACCUGCGUUGUAUUAGCUAGUUGGUGAGGUAACGGCUCACCAAGGCGACGAUACAUAGCCGACCUGAGAGGGUGAUCGGCCACACUGGGACUGAGACACGGCCCAGACUCCUACGGGAGGCAGCAGUAGGGAAUCUUCGGCAAUGGACGGAAGUCUGACCGAGCAACGCCGCGUGAGUGAAGAAGGUUUUCGGAUCGUAAAGCUCUGUUGUAAGAGAAGAACGAGUGUGAGAGGGAAAGUUCAC